rnacentral:lncRNA from 1 species
AGGAGACGAAGCUGGGGUAGGUGUGGAGGAGACAAAGCUGGUGGCGUGCAUGGAGGAGAUAGAGCCGGGGUCUGGUGUGGACGUGCUGGGGGCAGGCACUGAGGAGACGAAUUCGGCAGCGUGCGUGGAUCGGAGGAGACAAGGCUGGGGGUGGGAGCAGAGGAGAUAGAGCCGACGUGCCUGGGUCGAGCGGAGCAAAGCAAGACUAAGAAGGUGGGGGUGGGAGCGGAUUGGGGUGGCGGAUGUGAAAAAGACCCACAACCAGAAUUCAUUAAAAAUUAGGGUCCGAGGUAAGAUUUACACCUGACGCACUUUAUCCACACGCGUCUCCUAUACUACCCAACUUAUAGGAGAUGCACUGAUGUACCUAUAUUGGAGACGCGUUUUAAUGGGAACAAACACAUUGGAGACGCGUUUAAUACGUGUCUUCAAUUUAACAUUGGAGACGCGUUUUAAUUCCACGUCUCUAAUAAGGAUGUCUUCUUUGUGACUUUCUUACAUAAUGGCGUUUAGUCUACUCACACUAGCCUAAACAAGAACCGACACGAAUAAAGACAUAAA